AGUGAACGCUGGCGGUAGGCCUAACACAUGUAAGUCGAACGGCAGCACAGUAAGAGCUUGCUCUUACGGGUGGCGAGUGGCGGACGGGUGAGGAAUACAUCGGAAUCUACUUUUUCGUGGGGGAUAACGUAGGGAAACUUACGCUAAUACCGCAUACGACCUACGGGUGAAAGCAGGGGAUCUUCGGACCUUGCGCGAUUGAAUGAGCCGAUGUCGGAUUAGCUAGUUGGCGGGGUAAAGGCCCACCAAGGCGACGAUCCGUAGCUGGUCUGAGAGGAUGAUCAGCCACACUGGAACUGAGACACGGUCCAGACUCCUACGGGAGGCAGCAGUGGGGAAUAUUGGACAAUGGGCGCAAGCCUGAUCCAGCCAUACUGCGUGGGUGAAGAAGGCCUUCGGGUUGUAAAGCCCUUUUGUUGGGAAAGAAAAGCAGCAGGUUAAUACCCCGCUGUUCUGACGGUACCCAAAGAAUAAGCACCGGCUAACUUCGUG
rnacentral:rRNA from 1 species